rnacentral:tRNA from 1 species
GGGCCUAUGGUUUAAUGGAUAGAACUCCCGGCUUCGGACCGGAGGAUCCAGGUUCGAAUCCUGGUAGGCCCA